rnacentral:lncRNA from 1 species
GGAAAAGCAGUCCUGUGUUCUCUACUGCAACUGGAAGAUUCGUGAUUCACCUGGGUUAGCCUGUUCUUCAACCAGAGUUUAUAGGAAUAAAUAUAGUUCUAACCAGGGCACAUAAUCCUGCUUUCUUUAUCUCAGCAUAUCUCGUCUCCGAAAUUGUUUCCAUAGAUCUCUGAGAUGUUCACUGGUUACAGUCAUCACACAAGAGUAAUAUUCCUUCCAACCAUACUUGGGACUCUCCGUAACUUAUCUGCUAUAGAGUUCCU